UACGUAGGGAGCAAGCGUUGUCCGGAAUCAUUGGGCGUAAAGCGCGCGUAGGUGGCCUCAUAAGUCCGCUGUGAAAGUCAAAGGCUCAACCUUUGAAAGCCGGUGGAUACUGUGAGGCUAGAGUACGGAAGAGGCGAGUGGAAUUCCUGGUGUAGCGGUGGAAUGCCCAGAUAUCAGGAGGAACACCAAUAGCGAAGGCAGCUCGCUGGGACGUUACUGACACUGAGGCGCGAAAGCGUGGGGAGCGAACAGG
rnacentral:rRNA from 1 species